AACAGACACUUGAUCAGUUAGGAGUAGUAGAGGUCCUCUUCCCAGUGACUAGAAAAUAUACUUCCUCAGCCAACUUAGUCACCAUGGCAGCUGUCUUAUUGACUUGCGAGGUGCUUCAAGGCUGCUCAGUCACAGAAGUAUUUGAGGUAUAGGAGUGUAACCCCUGUGGAGUAUUUGCUUCAAGCCAUUAAUUAGGUGGAGAAAUCUGAGGAAGGGGCUAUGAUUCAAGAUUUGAGUUGAUAAAGAGCAGGAUUGAUGGCGCUGCAGGAGCUGCUGUUCCCCUGGAGGAUAAGGACCUUCCCAUCUUGGUUCAGUGGGACUCCAUCACAAAGAGCACAUAUAGAUGCUUCCAGGCGCUUCUCACCUUUUCUCGUACUUCCACCUUUGGCUCAGUGAAGAGGAGAGAUACUUCCUAGGUCAUUGAGCCUGAAAGCAGGAUGGAUGAUCACCCAUGGUUGUCUUGAACCUCCUGUCUGGCUAUCAACAGCUACCAUUGGACCAGUGGGCAUGCGGUCAGGGGAAUGCGUGCAGGAUGGCUGUGAUUCUGUAGCAAAUCAACAAGUAUUUCCCUGUCUUGGCUGGCACCCAUGAAAAACCAAGAAGGGGUUUAGCCCCCACCGCCCACCAAUGCACCCUUCCAUAUCCCUUUUCCUACAUGUCAGAAGCUUUCUCUUUCUUCAGUGAACGGCCACUGGUUUCUUGGCACCUUGAUGAGUGUACGGGCAGCUGUGAAGUGCAUAGCCUUUGCUGGCUUAAGAGCUCUAGGUGACCUGCCCAAUAGCUCUACAGAUGAUAUACUGAUACAAUUAUUCUUGUGAAAAAUUACUUUCCUUCAAAUAAUGACAGGAGUCCAGUAAUGGGUUGAACUCCUUGUUUGGAGAUGCUUGCUCCCUUCCCCUUCUAGCCACUUCUAAUUUUGAGAAAACUUAAUAAGGUCCAAAGGUUUGACUCCCCACAAAGGAUAUCGUCUUCUUAAAUAUACUGAUGUAGUGUUACAAUAAGAUCUAAGCAAGUAAAAGAGCAAAACUAACUAUUGUUUUUAAGGAGAUUAUUCCCAUUGACUCCUCUUAUGUGAAGCUGCUGCUGAAUGCUGUGGUGAUUAUAUAUUAGACCUACAGCUGGGCAGAACGAAGGCUGGUGGCAGGAGAGAUUCAGAGUGUUUUAGCAGUAGAAGGUGAAAAUACAAGAAUUCAACAAGGCACAUGAAGCCCAGAAGCUUUCCAACUCACUUUGUACCUGAAUA